rnacentral:rRNA from 1 species
GAUGAACGCUGGCGGCGUGCCUAAUACAUGCAAGUCGAGCGAAGCGGGGCCGGGUGAGUAACACGUGGAUAACCUCCUAUAAGACUGGGAUAACUUCGGGAAACCGGAGCUAAACCGGAUAUUUAUAGAUGGAACUGCGCUGCAUUAGCUAGUUGGUAAGGUAACGGCUUACCAAGGCAACGAUGCAUAGCCGACCUGAGAGGGUGAUCGGCCACACUGGACCUAAGACACGGUCAAGACUCCUAGGGAGGGCAGCAGUAGGGAAUUUUCCGAAAUGGGCGAAUGCCUGACGGAGCAACGCCGCGGGAGUAAGAAAGGUUUUCGGAUCGUAAGACUCGGUUGUUAGAGAAGCGGUAUCUAACCAGAAAGCCACGGCUAACUACGUGCCAGCCGCCGCGGUAAUUC